GCCUGGGUGGCUCAGUAGGUUGAGCAUCUGACUUCUGCUCAGGUCAUGAUCUCAUAGUUUGUGAGUUCAAGCCCCAUGUCAGGUU
rnacentral:tRNA from 1 species